GCAUUGAUGGUUCAAUGGUAGAAUUCUCUCCUUCCAUGUGGAAGACCUGGGUUCAAUUCCUGCCCAACGCA
rnacentral:tRNA from 1 species